UGGGGAAUUUUGGACAAUGGGCGCAAGCCUGAUCCAGCCAUGCCGCGUGCGGGAAGAAGGCCUUCGGGUUGUAAACCGCUUUUGUCAGGGAAGAAAAGCUCUGGGCUAAUACCCCGGGGUGAUGACGGUACCUGAAGAAUAAGCACCGGCUAACUACGUGCCAGCAGCCGCGGUAAUACGUAGGGUGCAAGCGUUAAUCGGAAUUACUGGGCGUAAAGCGUGCGCAGGCGGUUAUGCAAGACAGAUGUGAAAUCCCCGGGCUCAACCUGGGAACUGCAUUUGUGACUGCAUGGCUGGAGUGCGGCAGAGGGGGAUGGAAUUCCGCGUGUAGCAGUGAAAUGCGUAGAUAUGCGGAGGAACACCGAUGGCGAAGGCAAUCCCCUGGGCCUGCACUGACGCUCAUGCACGAAAGCGUGGGGAGCAAACAGGAUUAGAUACCCUGGUAGUCCACGCCCUAAACGAUGUCAACUGGUUGUUGGGAAGG
rnacentral:rRNA from 1 species